rnacentral:rRNA from 1 species
AUUGAACGCUGGCGGCAGGCCUAACACAUGCAAGUCGAGCGGAUGAAGGGAGCUUGCUCCUGGAUUCAGCUGCGGACGGGUGAGUAAUUCCUAGGAAUCUGCCUUGUCGUGGGGGAUAACGUCCGUAAACGGGCGCUAAUACCGCAUACGUCCUGAUGUAGAAAGUGGGGGAUCUUCGGACCUCACGCUAUCUGAUGAGCCUAGGUCGGAUUAGCUAGUUGGUUGGGUAAAGGCUUACCAAGGCGACGAUCCGUAACUGGUCUGAGAGGAUGAUCAGUCACACUGGAACUGAGACACGGUCCAGACUCCUACGGGAGGCAGCAGUGGGGAAUAUUGGACAAUGGGCGAAAGCCUGAUCCAGCCAUGCCGCGUGUGUGAAGAAGGUCUUCGGAUUGUAAAGCACUUUAAGUUGGGAGGAAGGGAAGUAAGUUAAUACCUUGCUGUUUUGACGUUACCAACAGAAUAAGCACCGGCUAACUUCGUG